UUCCGGUUGAUCCUGCCGGACCCCACUGCUAUCGAGAUGGGACUAAGCCAUGCUAGUCGUGCGCGUCCAACCAUGAGGACGAGCGGCAGACCGCUCAGUAACACGUAGCUAACCUACCCUCAGGACGUGGACAACCCCGGGAAACUGGGGCUAAUCCGCGAUAGGUAUGAAGGCCUGGAAUGGUUUCAUGCCCAACGGCACAGCGAUCAUGUUUGUUGUGCGCCUGAGGAUGGGGCUGCGGCUGAUCAGGCAGUUGGCGAGGUAACGGCUCACCAAACCUUUGACCAGUACGGGCCAUGAAAGUGGUAGCCCGGAGAUGGGCACUGAGACAGGGGCCCAGGCCCUACGGGGCGCAGCAGGCGCGAAAAACUCACACUGUACGGAAGUACGAUGGGGGUAUCUCGAGUGCAGUCCGAUAAGGGCUGCUUUU
rnacentral:rRNA from 1 species